rnacentral:rRNA from 1 species
GAUGAACGCUGGCGGCGUGCCUAAUACAUGCAAGUCGAGCGAACAGACGAGGAGCUUGCUCCUCUGACGUUAGCGGCGGACGGGUGAGUAACACGUGGAUAACCUACCUAUAAGACUGGGAUAACUUCGGGAAACCGGAGCUAAUACCGGAUAAUAUAUUGAACCGCAUGGUUCAAUAGUGAAAGACGGUUUUGCUGUCACUUAUAGAUGGAUCCGCGCCGCAUUAGCUAGUUGGUAAGGUAACGGCUUACCAAGGCGACGAUGCGUAGCCGACCUGAGAGGGUGAUCGGCCACACUGGAACUGAGACACGGUCCAGACUCCUUCGGGAGGCAGCAGUAGGGAAUCUUCCGCAAUGGGCGAAAGCCUGACGGAGCAACGCUGCGUGAGUGAUGAAGGUCUUCGGAUCGUAAAACUCUGUUAUUAGGGAAGAACAAAUGUGUAAGUAACUAUGCACGUCUUGACGGUACCUAAUCAGAAAGCCACGGCUAACUACGUG